UGGGGAAUAUUGCACAAUGGGCGCAAGCCUGAUGCAGCAACGCCGCGUGAGGGACGACGGCCUUCGGGUUGUAAACCUCUUUUAGUAGGGAAGAAGCGAAAGUGACGGUACCUGCAGAAAAAGCACCGGCUAACUACGUGCCAGCAGCCGCGGUAAUACGUAGGGUGCAAGCGUUAUCCGGAAUUAUUGGGCGUAAAGAGCUCGUAGGCGGUUUGUCACGUCUGCUGUGAAAACUGGAGGCUCAACCUCCAGCCUGCAGUGGGUACGGGCAGACUAGAGUGCGGUAGGGGAGAUUGGAAUUCCUGGUGUAGCGGUGGAAUGCGCAGAUAUCAGGAGGAACACCGAUGGCGAAGGCAGAUCUCUGGGCCGUAACUGACGCUGAGGAGCGAAAGCAUGGGGAGCGAACA
rnacentral:rRNA from 1 species